UACGUAGGGGGCAAGCGUUGUCCGGAAUCAUUGGGCGUAAAGCGCGUGUAGGCUGACCGGAAAGUCGGGCGUGAAAGCCCUGGGCUCAACCCAGGAACUGCACUCGAAACUCCCGGUCUAGAGUGGUGGAGAGGGAAGUGGAAUUCCUGGUGUAGAGGUGAAAUUCGUAGAUAUCAGGAGGAACACCAGUGGCGAAGGCGGCUUCCUGGACACCAACUGACGCUGAGACGCGAAAGCGUGGGGAGCAAACAGG
rnacentral:rRNA from 1 species